rnacentral:rRNA from 1 species
AUUAAUAAGCGGAGGAAAAGAAACUAACGAGGAUUCCCUCAGUAACGGCGAGUGAAGCGGGAUUAGCCCAGCACCGAAUCCCCCGGCGGAGACGCCGGCGGGAACUGUGGUGUUCGGGACGACCCACGCCCGUCGGUCGGACGCCCGAGUCCUCCUGAUAGGGGCUUCUCCCAGAGCGGGUGUAAGGCCUCUACGGCGUCCGGUCGGCGAGCCCGGGGAGUCCUAGGAGUCGGGUUGUUUGAGAUUGCAGCCCAAAGCGGGUGGUAAACUCCAUCUAAGGCUGAAUACUGGCACGAGUCCGAUAGCGAACAAGUACCGUGAGGGAAAGUU